rnacentral:rRNA from 1 species
GAUGAACGCUGGCGGCGUGCCUAAUACAUGCAAGUCGAGCGAACAGACGAGGAGCUUGCUCCUCUGACGUUAGCGGCGGACGGGUGAGUAACACGUGGAUAACCUACUUAUAAGACUGGGAUAACUUCGGGAAACCGGAGCUAAUACCGGAUAAUAUAUUGAACCGCAUGGUUCAAUAGUGAAAGACGGUUUUGCUGUCACUUAUAGAUGGAUCCGCGCCGCAUUAGCUAGUUGGUAAGGUAACGGCUUGCCAAGGCGACGAUGCGUAGCCGACCUGAGAGGGUGAUCGGCCACACUGGAACUGAGACACGGUCCAGACUCCUACGGGAGGCAGCAGUAGGGAAUCUUCCGCAAUGGGCGAAAGCCUGACGGAGCAACGCCGCGUGAGUGAUGAAGGUCUUCGGAUCGUAAAACUCUGUUAUUAGGGAAGAACAAAUGUGUAAGUAACUAUGCACGUCUUGACGGUACCUAAUCAGAAAGCCACGGCUAACUACGUG